AUUGAACGCUGGCGGAAUGCUUUACACAUGCAAGUCGAACGGCAGCACGGACUUCGGUCUGGUGGCGAGUGGCGAACGGGUGAGUAAUGUAUCGGCACGUGCCCAGUCGUGGGGGCUAACGUAGUGAAAAUUACGCUAAUACCGCAUACGAUCUAUUAAUGAAAGCGGGGGAUCGCAAGACCUCGCGCGAUUAGAGAUGCCGAUAUCAGAUUAGGUAGUUGGUGGGGUAAAGGCCCACCAAGCCAACGAUCUGUAGCUGGUCUGUGAGGACGACCAGCGACACUGGAACUAAGACACGGUCCAGACUACUACGGGAGGCAGCAGUGGGGAAUUUUGGACAGUGGGCGAAAGCCUGAUCCAGCCAUUCCGCGUGCAGGAUGAAGGCCCUCGGGUUGUAAACUGCUUUUGUACAGAACGAAAAGGUUUCUACUAAUACUAGGAGCUCAUGACGGUACUGUAAGAAUAAGCACCGGCUAACUACGUGCCAGCCGCCGCCGUAA
rnacentral:rRNA from 1 species